AGUGAACGCUGGCGGUAGGCCUAACACAUGCAAGUCGAACGGCAGCACAGUAAGAGCUUGCUCUUACGGGUGGCGAGUGGCGGACGGGUGAGGAAUACAUCGGAAUCUACUUUUUCGUGGGGGAUAACGUAGGGAAACUUACGCUAAUACCGCAUACGACCUACGGGUGAAAGCAGGGGAUCUUCGGACCUUGCGCGAUUGAAUGAGCCGAUGUCGGAUUAGCUAGUUGGCGGGGUAAAGGCUCACCAAGGCGACGAUCCGUAGCUGGUCUGAGAGGAUGAUCAGCCACACUGGAACUGAGACACGGUCCAGACUCCUACGGGAGGCAGCAGUGGGGAAUAUUGGACAAUGGGCGCAAGCCUGAUCCAGCCAUACCGCGUGGGUGAAGAAAGCCUUCGGGUUGUAAAGCCCUUUUGUUGGGAAAGAAAAGCAGCAGGUUAAUACCCCGCUGUUCUGACGGUACCCAAAGAAUAAGCACCGGCUAACUUCGUG
rnacentral:rRNA from 1 species